UGUACUGUUAGGAAGUACAACAGGUUUCAUGCUUAAAAGUAAAUAAAUAAAUAAACCUUAUUUGUUAGCCGCCUCAUAACAAAUUGUUCUCCUAAGUUGUUUAUUCAUAAACAAACAAACAAACCUGGACAUACUGUAUGAAGCUUCUUUAUGCUGGCUGACAUACUGCACAAGGUCCCAUUUGCCUCGCAACGGAAUGUCUGUGCAAUUGCUCAAGAAUUACACCAACACAGUUGUGUGAUAGAACUAAACGGAAGUCUAGUGUGCAACUGUUUGUGCAGUUCUUGCUGUGACCACUCACCAUGAGGUUUUGAGAUGUAUAUGCUGGAUAAUCCGCCGCUACCACCUUAAGUGGCGCAGUGGGGAAAUGCUUGACUAACAAGCAGCAGGUUGCCGGUUCAAAUUCCCGCUGGUAUUGCUGGCAGCAGCAAUAGAGGAAGAUGCUGAAAGGCAUCAUCUCAUACUGUGUGGGAGGAGGCAAUGGUAAACCCCUCCUGUAUUCUACCAAAGAAAACCACAGGGCUCUGGGGGCGCCAGGAGUCAAAACUGACUCAAUGCCACACUUCACCUUUUACCACCACUUAAGGAAACUUUCAGCCCUCACCCCGGGCCCUCAAGCAUCUCAGGGUAGCUUCUUGUUUUGGCAGAACAAUCCUUCUGUCUACGCUUGGGAAUUGACAGUAAACUAUGCCACACAGGAUAAACACAACCAAGGAUUUAUACUCGUUUGAGAUAAAUAAGACACUAUUCUCCUUUACACAGAACUACAAAGCACAACUUCCACGCACAAUUUCCAACUUCCGACAGUUUCCCCCCAAGCAGCCUUAACCAUCGCAGACUCUCUCUCUCCGUUUGCAUACAGAGUCCCUACUGCCCAAUCACCACAGUGCUUUUGCUGCCUCUCCUACAUUCAGAACAGAAUCUCCAGUAGAACUUUAAGCCUUACCACAAACAUAAAUACAAAUAUUUCCCAACUGAAGUUCUAGAAUAAAAGAAUCCCGUAUUUUGUCACACUUGCGCCAGAGCACUCUUGUGCAACUGUGCAAAUACUCCACUGCAAGGCAGAUGGGAGAUGGAGAAAUAUGUCAGCCAGUGAGUUAGAAACAACAACACAGUAAGCCCAGCCCAAUAUGACAAGCCUAGCACUUAAAGCCAAGGGGGGAAAAUAUACAAAAUAGACAAUAAUAUUUAUUCAAAUAAUAAUUUAGUAAAAUGUUUAAGACCAAUAAAAUGAAGGAAAAUCUCACCAGAAAAACCCAAGACAAGAUUAUUUAUUGAAUGUUCCAUUUUUAUGUCUUUAAAAAAAUAACUUCUUGUCUUGUUUUUUUCUGGUGAGAUUCGACUUUUGUUUUAUUGGUCUUGAAACGUAAUAUUGUAUAUUUUGUAUACUAUUUUGUCCUGGCUUUGUCCUUUGCUAGUCUGUGAAUUAGACCAUUGCUCCAUUUAACCCAGGACUGUCUGCUCCACUUGGUAGCGGUUAUCCAGGUUCUCGGGCAAAAGUCUUUCCCAGCAUCUAGUUAGUACCUCUUAUCUUUUAACUGGAGAUGUUAAGAUCCAACCUGGGCACUGCCAUAUUCAAAGCAUGUGCUUUACCAGUGAGUUAUGCCCCUUCCCGUUGCUUUGUUCUUGUAUCAGAGGGCUGCUCAACUUUGGCCGCCCUGCAGAUGUUGGCCUACAAUUCCCAUACCCCUGGCUAUUGGCCACUGUAGCUAGGGAUUAUGGGAGUUGUAGUUCAAAAUCAGCUGGUGGGGGGGGCUAAGUUGAGCAGGCCUGUUGUAGCAAUACAUCUAAAAUCUCCCAUUCAAUUGGCACUCAUGGAAAAAAGGGAGGUCACAUAAGUCCUUUUUCCAUCACAAGGGCUAUGCUUACCCUUUAUUCACUUAGAACCAUGACACUGCAUUUUGGCUGACAGAUAGCUGCCUUAUCUAGGACCGAUAUGCUUUGUCCUAUGUGUCCAGAAGAAAGGACACAUAUCCCACAAUUCUGUUAUCAUGCAUAAGUAUUGUUACUGGGAGGCUGGGAGCAGCAUUCAACAGCCUGAGAAUGUUAGCUUUCAUUUUUCUUUAAAACAAAAACAAGGGACCCACUCAUCCAGAUGCAAACCCAAGGGAACCCUGCUUAGCAAAGACGGGAAUUCAAGCUCACUACCGCAAGACCAGCUCUUUCUCCUCAUACUACAAAGCAUAGGCUUGAAGAGUGUGGGCAACAGAUGGCAAGAAGUCGGAAAGGGCGGAGGAGGCUUGGCAGCAGCCUAGACAUAUUUAUUGCUGUUAGAGACUGCCUUUCUUCCAUGAAACUCAUGGUGGUACCUGUGGGGGCUCUCAGGCAUUCUGCCUUCUAGACCCUGAUUAGACCCAGGCCUGCUUCACUUCAGCAAGGCUGCUGCAACAUGUGCUUCCGGACCAGUGUUCCCUCUAAGGUGUGCACGUGUGCGUGCGCUCACACGUUUUUUGAUGUCCGCUCAGUUAAUUUUAGAUCCUGCUCAGGUUUAAUCAGGAAGGUUGCACUCUGGGUAUAUAUGUGCACACACACUGCCUUGAUAGAACAAAACUCAUUCUGCACAUUGAUGAAAAAAAUUAGAGAGAACACUGUUCCAGAGCGUGUCCUAACAUGUGGUGUGUAAGAGCCCACAAAUACUGGCUUGACGUAGUAGCCAAGCCUCUGUUUAUCCUUGCUAUCAGCUUGCACAGUCUCAAGAACAGCUUUCAUUUAUGCUAGGGGUUCUCAACCCUUCUUUCUUUUUUUCUUUCUUUUUUGGAAAUAGUAAGGGUAUCCCUUCUGUCUGAGACCUUUAGCUCAGGUGCCCCAUAUACUGAGUUUGUGUACACACUCACUCUCACCAGAUGUGAGACAGGCUAUAACAGUCACUGGCUUACAUCCAGAUUAAGUUACUCAUGAGUAUUCCCAUUGAAAUUAAUAGGACAAGUAAAGUCCCAUGAAUUUCAUUAGCAACUUUAAAGUUAUUGAACUUAUUGAGUUGCUAUAUUCAAUAGCAACUCAUAAGCAACUUAUUCUGGAUGUAAGCCAGUUGCAGCAAACAAGCCCCACCACCUCACGUGAGAGGAAUUAUCACAGAGUCACCCCUCCCUGGGAGGCUGACUGACUGGCUUUAUUUAAUUAAGCAGGGAAUCUCACUGCCACCAAGCAUUCCUUUAUUAACAGAAAUUAUUGCGGAUUGGAAUCAGAAUGCUAAAAAUUCCAGUAUUUUUUCUUCACUUUGCUAGCAGGCAAAUAUAAAAACCUGAUCCCACUUAUAGAGGUUUAAGUGAGGCUUUACAGUACUUUUGAGGCUGUGUGCACUAGAGGAUUCUCCUCCCCCUUUCUUUGACUAACACUCUGAGAGGGCUUGUAAAACAGAGAAAAACAGUUUAUUAAUUAAAUCCCUGCCGCCGCCACCCACCCUGCCAAAUUGCCCGUCUCAUCAGUUGCAAUUAGAAAUAGCGUAAUGCUUACAAACGCCCAGAUGUUCUCAGGCAGCACUUAAAGCAAUCCAUUACUAGGUUAGGGUUGAAGGUAAUUAGUUUCAAGAAGCAGAUACUUAAGUAUACAAAGCAACACACACAAAGGAAAAUAACUUCUAAUGCAAGUCUUACUAAAACACUUUCUCCUGGUGAGACCAACUGCCUGCAAUCCCACACACACACACCCCUGCCAACUUGCAGAACUCACCCUGAGAGAAUCUGGCAAGACUCCAUUGCUCCUCUCUCACCUGGACACACCUUUCUUCUUCCCAGAAAACCCUCAGGAGCCCUUUAGUUCCACCACUUGUUAACCAAUUGGGUCAUGACCUAGGGUCUCCAGUCUGUCAACCAAGGUCAAAUGCUUUCCCCCAUUAACUCUAUCAGUGCUAGCUGGCUUCCCACUACACUGGUGACUGUAAUAGCCAAGUUGUCCAAUCAGGAGGAACAUAAAAACAGCCCUGCUGGAUCAGGCCCAAGGCCCAUCUAGUCCAGCAUCCUGCUUCACACAGUGGCCCACCAGAUGCGGCUGAGAAACCCACAGCCAGGAGCUGAGGGCAUGCCCUCUCUCCUACUGUUACUCCCCUACAACUGAUAUUCAGAGUUAUCCUGCCUCUGAGGCUGGAGGUGGCCUGUAGCCCUCAGACUAGUAGCUGUUGAUAGACCUCCUUAACAGAGUUAAUCACUAGUCAGUGAGUUGAGGAGGUCCUAAUCAGUCAGUGAGUUGAGAGCUGUGUCCUAAUAACUAGUCAGUGAGGCGGAGAGGUGGGAUGGCUCCAAGUAUCCCUUACAAGUACCCCAGGGGUUUGUGUACCCUUGGUUGGGAGCCACUGAUUUAUGCUAUGAUACAGAUGAGGCAAGAAACAGUAGGAAUCCUGUUGCUGUCUCCCUCGCCCCCCACUUUAAACUGCAUCACAGGUGGAAAGAAGAAGUGGACUUGGAAGAAAGGUGAAAUUUUGUCUCACUCAUGUGAAGCUUUGGAAAAGAAACACUCCCUGUUUCUUUUCUUCAAACCUAAUGAGAAAAAUCCCCACUUCUCUUCCAGGCCUCUGUCCCAGGGGCGUAACGAGCAUAGGGCAGGCAGGGCACGUGCCCUGGGUGCCACUGCAGGGGGGCGCAAAGUGCCUGCCAUGCCCCGCCCCCUGCCCCAACUGCGGUCGGAGAAAUGCCCCGCCGCCCUCCUCCCAGCAAGCACUUGCAGUUUAUUUCAGGCAGUAUUUGCUGCCUGAAAGUGUCUAUUCCCCUUUCUCUCCCUCCAGAUGACUCUGAAGAGCUUGCUCAGGUUCUUCAGAGCUAGAGGCCACACCUCCAGUUAGCUCACCCCUGCCAUACUGUGUACACUCUGUGCUAAAUAUAAAUACAUUUUGCACUAGGAUAACACAGAUUCUGUACCAAAAAUGCAGAAUUCUCUGUAUAAAUAAAAUCUGCAUAAAUUUAAUUAACUUUGUACAGUUGAAUUUACUUCUAACCAUGUGGAGGGGCACUAAAACCCCAUCUCAAACAUUGAAAUCUUGCUCAGUUCCACCUCUUAUUUUAGGAGCACAGUGUUCAAAAUACAGCAUGUGAGCAUUUGAGUUAUACAGAGCUCUUCUUCAGGCUACAUGGGGGAGAACAUUUAUUCCAAAAAGGAACAGUAUAGAUAUUUCUAUUUAUCAUGCCCACACUCAGAAAUACCUUGUUUCCUUUUAAAUUUGUUGAUCAUUCAAUCUGAGAAAGAGUUCUGUGUCACCCUCAUUUGGUAUGUGACAGGUUGGCUCACUGGCUGGCUGCAUACUAUUUUUCUGACUGACUUUGUUCUACUGGACCAACAGGGGUUAUCUGAUUUUAAAAUGCAACAGAUUGCUCUUGCACCAUAAAUAUUUAUACAGUCCGCUUCCCACACGAAAACAAACAUUCAAAGUACCCUGCUUGCAGACAGACAUCCAUGCUCUGUAAUUAACAAACACAACUGGAUAACACCCCCCGCCCUUUUAAAAGCAAGUGGAAGAAGGGCAUCUUGCGCUCCAAUAAUUUGCUGCCUGAGGUUAGUGCCUCGCUUCGCCUCACCUCAUGGAAAGACCACCCUGGAUACUGCCAUUCAUACAAAAGCUGCCAGCAGUAAAUGGACACUUAAGUCCCCUCUGUCAACCAUUCUGACAAGACUCCUUUCAGAACUUGAGCGGUGUGGUCAAGAUGGCGAUGUGAAAGCAUCUUGUCAUGUUAAAUCCAUUCUGUGGAAUACCUCCCUCACCCCCCGGUUUGCAUUUUUAAAGCUUUUUAAUGCUGUUUUAUAUAUGGACUGUCUUAGAAGAGCUGUUAUUUAUUUUGUUUGUUUUCCCCCUUUUAAAACGCUGCUAUUCUGUUUGCAGUUUGUCUCCCGAAGGAGUUAUGCACUUAAUCAGCCAGAGCAUUGUUGAUUAGCUGGCUGGCUGACUGAUUGCUUAGCUUUUGUUUUUUCUUGGAUUUGGUUUUUACUAAAGGACAACAGAUUAUUUUCUGUUGUAAACUUUUGAGCUAACCUAAACAAUGGAGAGAGAGAAAAGCAGUGUAUCAGCCCAGAAAUGCAAGGAUGGGUGAAAACUUUGAAGCAAACAUGUCUGGAUACAUUUAUAGCAACGAAGGAUAGUAAGACACUAAAAUAACUUGUAAGUUUGAACUACCCUGUUUCCACAUUGAAUAGAUUUGCACUCUUGGAGCAACAGGAACUUGAGCUAAUUGAAGCAGCAACAGUUAUCAAAGAAAGACAGUUGCAGGGGGAUAACACCUUGAGCAGUGAGUGGAAACCACCCAGCAGAAUUUACCUAUUGGUCUGGGAAGAAGAUGUCAACCAUGGAUUACUGGCUUGCAUCCUGUAACCUGGUGAGUUGUGUGUUCAAAUGGAGGUUGACUUUUGCCCUGAUAGUGACCAUCUCCCUUUGAUUCUAAAGACUAAUCUGCCAGUUAGGACAUCUCAUUCUAAGGAUAAAAUCAAUUUCGCUUUGGAAGUCGUGGCUGGGGAAGUACGGAUUAAAUGGGAUGAGACAUGGGCUCAAGUUAUGGACAUUUUGUUAAACUCAGAUGACAUGAAGGGACUUCCAUGAUGAGUUACUAAGAGGAGAGAUUGGGCUUGUAUACAAUCAUUAUGGGACACUUAUCCAUAUGAUACGAGAUCACCUUGUGUGGGGGAAAACUAAUUAUAACUGUUGGCUAAUGGGUAGGUCUAGAGGUUUGUAUGACCAAGAGUUUGUAGCUGCCAAGAAGGAGGUAGUGGCAAACUAUAAAUUGUACCAAGACCUUCAAUGUGCUACUCCUUGAAGUCCUGAAAAAACCAAUAUAAAUCCUUGAUCAAAGCUAAGAAAAGAGAAGCUCAAAGGUUGUCCUGGCAGAGGCUGAUUGCUUCAGUUAGAGAGAGGAUUUCCCCUCUCUUCUGGCGUAUUACAGCUGGCUGCUCAAACCAUUAUUCCUCCCAUUUGACUAGUCAGGCCCCUAUGGAGACAUGAGAAUUACACUUUAAAGCUCUCUGUUUGGCCCAAGAGGAGGAACGAACCCCAGUAGAUUUUAAAAAUGACCCACUUCCUGAAUGGCCACCUGUUUCAGUUGCCAAAGUUAAGAAGCUUAUUGAUUCCUUAAAAGUUGGCAAGGCCUCGGGCUGUGAUUGUAUCACUUUGAAAUGGUUAAGUUUAAUGCAGAUUGGUGGGCCCCUGUAUUGGCAGCUCUCUUUACAUGCAUAGAUCAAACUGGGCUCAUACUCGAAGACUGGGGCAUAGCCGUAAGAGUGCCUGUAUUUUAAAAAGGGGAUAGACGUGAUCCUGCCAACUGUCACUCAGUUAGCCUGCUGAGUGUUGUGAGUAAGCUUUACAUGAGGCAUUCAGAUUAGAAGUUACAAGACUGGAUGGAGAAUGAAGGUAUUUUGGGUGAUGAAUAACCUGGGUUUAGAACAGAGCAGUCAACCAUGGACCAUGCCCUGGUAUUAUGUCAUCUAAUUGAGAAAUAUAUCAACAAACCUAAGUCUUCCUUGUAUGUGGCCUUUGUAGAUUUCAAAGCAGCCUUUGAUUAAAUCUCGAGGAUAAGCCUCUGGGGAAAAAUCAGACACACUAGUGUUGAUAGACAUUUACUCUUUCUUAUUCAGAAGCUCUAUGAUAAUACCAGUGUAAUAGUGAGAUGUAACCCUCAAGGUUCACUUUCACAUUUAAUAACUACUAGUAAUUGAGUUAAACAAGGAUGCAUUUUGGCAACCUCCCUGUUCAAUCUUUACAUAAAUACCCUAGCUAAUAAUCUCUCUGAUUCAGCGCUACAUUCCCCAGCUAUUGCAGGCACAGCUAUCCCAGCCCUGCUGUAUACAGAUGCUGCUGCUAUCAUCUCACGAACUCCAGUGGGCCUUAGGAGAGUGCUUAGGCUCUUGGCCACUUAUUGUAAGGACAAUCACUUGGUAAUUAACUUGCAGAAAUCCAAAGUGAUGGUCUUUGCCAAGAGGCCUAAAAGAUUUAACUGGCAUAUAGAGGGCCGUCAUAUAAAGCAGGUCAAGAGUUUUAAAUAUCUGAGUGUGGUUUUUCUUGGCACUGGAUUAUGGAAGGCCCGCGUGGACUACGUUGCCCAUCAAGCACAAAGAAGCGCUUCAGCAACAUUAAGAUUCUUUCACUCCAACAUUAAGAUUCUUUGACUCCAAAGGUGGAGAGGUUAUCCUUACAAUGUUAAAGUUACAUGCUGCUAAAUCAUUGGCCAAACUUUUGUAUGGUGCACAAUUGGGCCCCUACCCUAAUUAUAGGCCACUGGAGAUCAUCCAAUCCAAGUUUAUUAGAUAAAUAUUCAGCCCGCCACCCACCACACCCCCGAUGUGUCUCCAACGCACUGUUGAGGAUGGAAACGGGCCUCCAGAGGGUGGAAACAAAAGCAUGGAUUUUAAUGGAUUUUAAGUUAUUAGCUUAGGAUCCAUUUCUCCCCUCUGGGAUUGAUCCCUCUUAUGUUGGUCAAUAGGCUUCAAUCCACCUGGACACAAGCACUGAUGGGUAAAUUGUCAUCACUUGGCCUUUCUACUGAACAUUUGUCAUUACUAGAUUACAGUCAAGCCAAGGAGAUCCUCAAACAGAGGGUCUUGGACAUAGAACAUCAGAACGAUUUAAGCUCCAUCCCAGAGACCAUAAGAGGGCACCUUGGUGACUUUAACCAGGAACCUGCUAGCUAUUUAUUGUCGCUUUCUUUACCGAGCCAUCAGGGCAUUCCUCAGAGCAAAAUAUGAUGCCUUACCGUCAGCAGCUUUAUCUGGAAGGUUUUCGAAAACCCUCCGGCCAGUCGGUUUUGCCCCUGUGGCUCAGGUGAGGUCUAAUCUGUCCUCCAUGUGCUACUGUUUUGUCUUUUUUAUAAUGACUGCUGGUGCAGUCUUAUUUCCUUGCUAUCACGCUUUCCCGGCUGGACUGCUGAAUUUUACGCCACACUCCUUCUUGCAGAUAAGAAACCUUCUAUCACCUACAAGGUUGCCACAUUUUGUGCAGCUGCUGCUAAGAUCCGUCAACAGCUAAUUUCCAGCCCUUCCUUUUAGAUGCUGUUACAAGAGGCUUCUAUGUUGAUGUAUUCUGUAUGAUUUAAUUCUUAUCUGAAUGCAGUAUCAUCUGUUUGUAUAUAUAACUGAUCAAUGAUCAUAAUAAAGCUAUUCAUUCAUCAAG